AAAGUGUGGCACGUGUGCCAUUUUGUAGGUACCAGAAGAAUAAGGACCGGCUAAUUCCGUGCCAGCAACCGCGGUAAUACGGAAGGUCCGGGCGUUAUCCGGAUUUAUUGGGUUUAAAGGGAGCGCAGGCGGCCUGUUAAGCGGGCAGUGAAAGACGGUGGCCCAACCAUCGAGGUGCUGUCCGAACUGACAGGCUUGAGUACGUUCGAGGUAGGCGGAAUUCGUGGUGUAGCGGUGAAAUGCUUAGAUAUCACGAAGAACUCCGAUUGCGAAGGCAGCUUACCAGGACGCCACUGACGCUAAAGCUCGAAAGCGCGGGUAUCGAACAGGAUUAGAUACCCUGGUAGUCCGCGCGGUAAACGAUGGAUGCUCGCUGUUCGGUCUGUUAUGGACUGUGCGGCCAAGCGAAAGCGUUAAGCAUCCCACCUGGGGAGUACGCCGGCAACGGUGAAACUCAAAGGAAUUGACGGGGGCCCGCACAAGCGGAGGAACAUGUGGUUUAAUUCGAUGAUACGCGAGGAACCUUACCCGGGCUUGAAUUGCGGAUGCUGCGGCAAGAGAUUGCCGUGUCCCUUCGGGGCGUCCGUGAAGGUGCUGCAUGGUUGUCGUCAGCUCGUGCCGUGAGGUGUCGGCUUAAGUGCCAUAACGAGCGCAACCCCUUUCUCCAGUUGCCAUCGGGUUAAGCCGGGCACUCUGGAGACACUGCCACCGCAAGGUGUGAGGAAGGUGGGGAUGACGUCAAAUCAGCACGGCCCUUACGUCCGGGGCUACACACGUGUUACAAUGGCAGGCACAGAGAGUCGGCUUGACGCAAGUCUGGUCUAAUCCCCAAAUCCUGCCUCAGUUCGGACUGGGGUCUGCAACCCGACCCCACGAAGCUGGAUUCGCUAGUAAUCGCGCAUCAGCCAUGGCGCGGUGAAUACGUUCCCGGGCCU
rnacentral:rRNA from 1 species